rnacentral:lncRNA from 1 species
UCCAAUAUACUUAAGAACAUUGCUUCUCCAGAUCGUCUAUGUAGCCAAAUUCCAAUCCAACUACCUAACAAUACUUUUUGAAACUACCUGUUUUAAACCACUACCAUUCAUGCCCCCACCAAGAGAUCAAAGCCACCAACCCCAAUAUCAAUACCCCACCAACAAUAUUGUAUAUAACAUGAAAUGGGGAAACACAGAGUGAAUAAAGAGAUUCAUAAAAGUGGGUUUUCUUUUUAAAUGAUUUAAGUUUUCAACCAAAUCUGUUUGGGUUUCUGGAGCAGGUAGCACGAAUCAAAUAGAGAGAAUAAUGAGAGACUGAGAGGGAAUAAAGAGAACAAAUUGAGUUUUCCCUUUGUUUGUUUUUGUGCAACUUUUUUCAUUACCAGUUUGUGUGGACCUGCAAUAAUGAUUGGAGGAAAUGGGGAGAAAGCAGAGGUCGGAGGUGGUUGGGCAGUGGGGAGAGGAGGAGAGGAGGAGAGUGAGUUUUACUUUUUAUUUUUUUGAGAAUCAAGAUUUCAUUAUAAAAAAACUCAAGAAGAGAGUACAUCUGUAGAAAGAGAUAAGAGCAACCAUGUAGGUGCUUCCUUAAUCCAAGAAACAAAAUCAUUACAACUGAUUGCAAGUUGAGCCAAGGUAUGUCACUUUAGGAAUUGUGCAUUUAUCCGCAUUUGAAAGAAUUUUGAACAUCCAUUAAAUUUAAUGGGUAAAAGCAAGUCAUAUCACAUGUUAUUUUUUCUCCAUAAACCGCAGAAUCUAAAGCUUACUGAACAUCUUUCUAUACCAUAUGGUGGAACCAAGUAGAGCAAUGCCGGACACCUAUUCGCCUUCUCCCUUGUUUUUUUUUGGUUUCUAUCCUAAGAGAUUCUUUAAUAAUAAUAAUAAUAAAAAUAAAAAUUCUUAAUUCCAUAAAUUCCAUUUUUUUAAUAUUCAAUUUAUAGAUCCAUGAAAGGCCAUUCCAAAUUUCUUCAUAAAAUAUUAUCUAAUUCUGUAUCUAGGUUUCACCACUAGUGUUUCAGUCGCUAGAUCAAGGACACUUCAUAAAAUAAAGGGGCAAAGCCAUUUUUUAUCAACGGACUCACCACAACCUGAUACUCAACCAAAAUUAGUUUGGUUCAAAUACCUAAUCUUCCUGAAAAACUCACACUUUCUUUCAUCAACUAUACUCUGAUACUCAACUCAAUGGAGGUUUGUUCUUUCAUAUUGAAGAACUCAUAAAUAUGGGUAACAAUUGUGCCAAUGCUUCUCUAUGGUUGAAGAAAAAUUGUUCUUUGAAUUUGUUGUAAAUUCUGCUAUAAAAAAAAACAAUUUCUUGUAAAUAAACAAAGCAACAAAGAGUGAAACAAAAAAGAGAGGAAAAAAUUAGGGAAAGCUGGAAAUAGUAUGUUACGAGAGGGAAAUAAGAAACAAAAUCCAGUGUUGAUGCCGCUUGGUGAACAAUGUUGGAUUACUUGGUUGUUUAAGAUUUUUCCAAAUGCAUAUAAAUGUACAAUAUUUUAAAGUAGAGACUCGAUUUUGUUUAGAAGAAGAAUAAAAUUUUUACCCAAAAAAGAAGACGGAAAAUUGGCGCUGUGUAUUUUGUGAGGAAAAAAAUAUAUAUGUGACGUGGCUUGCUUUUACCCAUUAGAUUUAAUGAAUGUUCAAGAUUCUAUCAAAUGAGGGUAAAUACACAGUCCCUAAGUGUAGAGGCUUGGGAUCCCCUUAUUACAGCUCCUUAGGGACCAUUGACAGAAAGCUACUCUUAAUUGUUAAAGAUCUCAUUUUUUAAUAGUUAAUUGUUUUUUUUGGCACACAUGACAUACAUUUUAGCAAAGCAAUGGAUCCCAUUUUUUGUCACGUCAGUAUUUUUAACAAAUUAUAUGACAAACUUGAAGGUAAAGCAUAAAGUAAUACACAAAACAUCGUUCAUAGAGUCAAUACAGUUAUUUUCAUAGAAAGAUGUUCCAUUACUUAGGCAUCCCUAAGCCAUCAAACUUCACAAAGAAAUUUUACAAUUGACUUAACCGAUUUAAGUUCUAGUAUAUUUCUUCAUAAAUUAAAGUUAUUGGCCAUAUAUAAUACACCAGGAAACAAUUCAAGAAAAUUGGACUACGCUAGUAAUGGUAAGGUCAUCUCCAGCCAUGGUCAUAGGCCUUAUGUAACCCUCAAAAUAUGUAAAAUUCAUUUCCAGCCAUGGUCAUAGGCCUUAUGUAACCCUCAAAAUAUGUAAAAUUCAUUUCCAGCCAUGGUCAUAGGUCUUAUGUAACCCUCAAAAUAUGUAACCCUUAAAGGUGCGUUGAUGUCAAUUAGCCGUUAUUUUUUUUUUCAUUUAAUAUUUUUAAUGUAUUUAAAUUCGUUUUUAUUUAAAAAAUAUAUAUAUAUAUAUAUAAUGGGUUUUGAAAUGCAUCAAUUUUUUCAAAAUAGCCGUUGUAGGCUUCUUCUUUAUUUUUUUUAAAUAAAAAAAGUUUUAAAAACCUCAAAUAUGUCUAUAAAUACCUCCAAAUUUCUUCAAAAAAUUCACACUCAUUUCUUACAAAUUUUAUCACAUUCUCUACUUAUUCACAACUUUCCACACUCAUUUCUCUAAAGAACCUAAAUAGUACUUUAAUUAAUUUGAACAAUACAUAGUAAUUGAAUGUAUGAGUGUUGUAUCAUAAUUUUUCUCAAAAUAAUAAAACAUGUAGAACCUUAAAAUAUAGCCCUACAUGGCUGGAGAUGAAAUUUUUUAGCCCUAUGCUAUUUUUAAAAAUAAUAAUAUUUUAGAGGCCUAAAUUGUAACCUUACAUUUGCCCUAUAGCCCAUGACUAGAGAUGACCUAAAAAGAGCAUAUUAGUGCAUAUCAAAUUCAAAAAAAGAAUCUAAAUAAACAUAUAAAUAAAUAAACAACCAUCGACGAUUACUGCAAUCGUAAAAGAGUAGAUCCAAUUCGAAAACUUUCUUGCAUAUAACAUAUAAGAUAAAAUCAAAAAACAAUUUUUUUUAUUUGACCCAAAAUCCAACGGCAAGAAGAUGAAAAAUCAAAAUCAAAGACAUGAAGGAAAAAAAAAAUACCGACAAAGAGCGCUGGUGCAGUGGUAGUGGUUGGGCGGCAGGAAGUUCUGAUGCGUAGAGAGACCCAAGUGUGGUUAUUAGGUACAAAGGGAAGACAACAGAGAAGAAGAAGAAGAAGAAGUCAGCGACAAAGGGCACUGAGCGUGCAUUGAGCAACUGAGAGUUUAGAUUUGGGCCUUAGACUAAUUACGUUGUGAAACGAACUUAAAAUUAACUGAGUAUACCUUAUGAUCUAAAUACAUCCUAAUAUUUAAAUCAAAAUGUAAAAUUAAUUAAGUACCUCCUAUUUAACUAUCAAAAAUACACCUUAAUACACUCUAUCACACAAUACCGAAUACUUUUGAGAGCUGGCUGUGAAUCAAACUUGUCCGCAUUAAUGUGGUUUGGAGAAUAUAAUUUUAAAAGUUGUCAAUUCUAUAGGCGAUUAAUACGUAUUAGUGGUCUUCAUAGAAUAAUAGAUUUUCUUUCUGGGGCAUUUUAUUUUGUUGUCUUUGGGGAAUGAUAAAUGAGAUCCUUACAUUCGGAAUUAUUUCCUAAUUUUUCCCUUGGUAUGCCAAUGAAUUGCUGGGCUUACAAUGCAGAAACAUCAUUAUGAUUCGUCCAUUGGUGGUUGCCUUGCCUUGAUGCAUUACACUGCAGUUGUCCUGAAGAUGUGGUCAAGCUAACAGCUGCCGAUUUAGUUGAUGUAUUUCCUCAUUCAAUGAGGAGUACCAAAAGCCAGGCGUCCCAUCUGUUGUGCUUGAGAUGAAUUUAACUUUAUUUUGUUCUUGCCUUGUGAAUUGCUAAUUGAUCCGAGGGAUUGAUUUUAUUAGAAUUGAAUAUGGUGAGUAAAUUACAUUUGUUAUACAAUUUAAUAUUUCUUUUUUUUUUUAUUAUUUUAUAUUAGGGUAAGUUAGUAAUUCAAUAAAUAGUUUGAUAAUAGAGUAUACUCAGUUAAUUUUAGGGUUCGUUUAAUAUCACCCAAAUUUUAUUGCAGCAUAAAAUUCAAAUGAAAUUUAAGUGUCACGAUUAUGCAAAUUGGUAGGGAAGUGCAUUAAAAAU